AUAUUGGACAAUGGGCGAAAGCCUGAUCCAGCAAUGCCGCGUGUGUGAAGAAGGCCUGCGGGUUGUAAAGCACUUUCAGCAGGGAAGAAAAGCUCGGUGCCAAUACCACCGGGUCUUGACGUCACCUGCAGAAGAAGCACCGGCUAACUCCGUGCCAGCAGCCGCGGUAAUACGGAGGGUGCAAGCGUUAAUCGGAAUUACUGGGCGUAAAGCGCGCGUAGGCGGUUUGGUAAGUCGGAUGUGAAAGCCCUGGGCUUAACCUGGGAAUUGCAUUCGAUACUGCCUGACUAGAGUGUGGUAGAGGGAAGUGGAAUUUCCGGUGUAGCGGUGAAAUGCGUAGAUAUCGGAAGGAACACCAGUGGCGAAGGCGACUUCCUGGGCCAAGACUGACGCUGAGGCGCGAAAGCGUGGGGAGCAAACAGG
rnacentral:rRNA from 1 species